rnacentral:lncRNA from 1 species
GGUGUCUGUAAGGAAAAACAGAGGCAACGCAUGUAAGCAAGCGAUGAUUGGAAAACCGGGACCUCACACACUGGUGUGCUGGAUGGCCUUGGGUUUUUCUUUCAGGGAGAAGGCAUGGGACUACUUCAAAGGAUGUCAGAGAUGGUGGUAUGUAAGGUGCCCAUAACUUUACAGUGGACAACACAAAGAACCAUGUAAGACACCCUAGACACAGUGACUCUUGACUUGGAUUAACUCAAGAGGACAUGAAGUUUAAAGACUUGGGGAUCUAGAAACUUCU